rnacentral:rRNA from 1 species
UCUGGUUGAUUCUGCCAGUAGUCAUAUGCUUGUCUCAAAGAUUAAGCCAUGCAUGUCUAAGUAUAAGCAAUUAUACAGCGAAACUGCGAAUGGCUCAUUAUAUAAGUUAUCGUUUAUUUGAUAGUACCUUACUACUUGGAUAACCGUGGUAAUUCUAGAGCUAAUACAUGCUAAAAAUCCCGACUUCGGAAGGGAUGUAUUUAUUAGAUUAAAAACCAAUGCCCUCUGGGCUCCUUGGUGAUUCAUAAUAACUUUUCGAAUCGCAUGGCCUUGCGCCGGCGAUGGUUCAUUCAAAUUUCUUCCCUAUCAACUUUCGAUGUUUGGGUAUUGGCCAAACAUGGUCGCAACGGGUAACGGAGGGUUAGGGCUCGACCCCGGAGAAGGAGCCUGAGAAACGGCUACUACAUCCAAGGAAGGCAGCAGGCGCGCAAAUUACCCAAUCCCGAUUCGGGGAGGUAGUGACAAUAAAUACUGAUACAGGGCUCUUUUGGGUCUUGUAAUUGGAAUGAGUACAAUUUAAAUCCCUUAACGAGGAACAAUUGGAGGGCAAGUCUGGUGCCAGCAGCCGCGGUAAUUCCAGCUCCAAUAGCGUAUAUUAAAGUUGUUGUGGUUAAAAAGCUCGUAGUUGAACCUUGGGCCUGGCUGGCCGGUCCGCCUCACCGCGUGUACUGGUCCGGCCGGGCCUUUCCCUCUGUGGAACCUCAUGCCCUUCACUGGGUGUGGCGGGGAAACAGGACUUUUACUUUGAAAAAAUUAGAGNCAGCACCUGCCGUUGUGUCGAGGUACAGGGUAGACUACCCUGUACCUCCGACUUCAAACCCGAUUUUCUCGACGACCAGUGGGUGCACACAAAAGAAAAACACACCAACGGCCUUUCCAGCUCUCGCUCUAUCCAUUGCAUGUUUGUUUUCUUUGCUGGCAUGUAUGGUGGGAAAGUUGAGUUGUCAUCUGUCGAUUUUCCAAAAAGGCACCCACCACUCAUG